UUCACUCUCCACUCCGAGGCUCAGGGAGCAAGUGCCUGGCAUGGGGGGUAAAAGUUGGCUUUUUUUUUACUCCUUGGUCUUUUGCGCCCUUCUCCCUCUCCCCAGAAGGGAAGACCCAUUUAAACUAUUUUAGACGCAAUCAACCAAGAAUCACCAUGUGGAAUUGAGCGGCAGUUUUAAAUGUGUUGAGCAGGGGAGAGGAAUGAUGAGAAAAACAUUUUUUUUUUUUUUUUUGGAGACGCCGAAAGAAGCCUGUUUGUGUGCUGCGGCCGUGCUGUGACUUUGGAUCUUGUCUUUCAGCCGGCGCCUCGGUUCCUGCCCAGCUGGAUUUGGGGGGCAGCAUUGCCUGGCGCAGGGAGAUCAAAUGAGACUGCAAAGAAGCAUAAAAUGAAUAGACAAUCCAACCAACCAAAGACCGGGGGCAGCAGCAGGCCAGCAAGACGGCAUCUUCUCCUUCCCAGCCUAGAAGCCCUGUGAAAUCGAGGAUCUUCCCCCUAAAACACAUACACACAAGAUAUGUGCAAUCAAGCUGCCACCGCUUGGUAAAAAGCCAUGGUGCCUAACCAAAAAGGAUCAGGAACAGAUCCUUGAAUCAGCUGUCACUUCUAUAGAAUGGGAUUUUUUUUUCCUUCCUCCUUAACCUGCGCUGGAAAUUGCCGUUGGCUUUAUACAUCUCUAUAGAGAGAGGCUAAAGAGUCUUGCGUGAGAAAGAAGCAAUUUACAAUGCAAAUAGAGGCCUGUGAAGGGACGGAUGCUGCUGCUCACUCGUAACAGCUUGCUGCACCUUAAUAGCUGGUUUUAUUUUCUGAUAUUAAUAGAUGAAUUGUUGGCUAACGCUGCCGGAGAUUACUUGCUGAAAGGAAAAAGAAAAGUUCGGAAUAAACUCUGAAGGCAACAGAUCUCGUUUGGAUGUUUUAGCCGCGCACACACACAAACAGAAACCAGGUCAUAUUUACAUAAAAGGAGGAAUCUUAAGCGCGGCAAGUAUCCUGGACGACCACUCUUCGGUACUGCCAGAAAGGAUCAGGACCUGGAGUCUGGCAAGAGGAAGACAGAGGCCUGUGUGGGAAGCGAGUUGUUAUCUUUGGUUAUCUAGCUGUAUGAGUGUAUUGGUCUUCAUAAAGCUAGAUAACCGAAAGUAAAAACUCCUUCAAGAUCGCCGGGGAGCGUGUGAGAAUGAAAGACUACAGCCGAGAGACAGUAAAAACCAGAAAGGUCAGGAAUACUUAUUGAAUCUAACUUUGUUUUUGUUUUGUUUUUUUCCUUAUGAUUAAAGGUGGGAUGAGAGAAAAUUAAAUGACACACACAUGCUAAAAUAUCAAGGUUCCAGAUAUGUCUUGAGAGGGGUUGUUGCAGCUGCAAAGGAGAAGUGUAUAGUGAUAAUGAGUAAAGAUGCAUGUGCAGUUUGUUCUAUUUUAAGGCAAAAGUUAUAUCAGGGAUUUUUUUCUUAGAAAGGUGUUGCAGAGAUGUCUGGUACCUAGUUUAAAAAUGAUUCCAUAAUAUGUAGACUUGGGCAGUUCCUUUGGGAGGCACCUCCCUCUCAAAAUUUGAAGAUUGUGCUUGGAAAUUACUUUACAUGUAUUUGGGCUGUAUGUCAAUUUGUACGAAAUUAGACUUUCAGAAAAGUUUAUACUGGAAGGUUAAUAAUUUGUAUCUACUGAGGACUUAGAGCUAGCAGGCAAAAUGAAAAAAAAAAAAAAAAAAGCAAGGGCUGAUUUUUAUUCUUCUAUUCAAAAUACAAGGACAGAUGCUUCUCUGUUCCAAGAGGGUUUCCUUGAGGAAGCUACUGAAGCAGAAAGACAUGAUGGAGACGAGAUCGCCUCCCCUCUUGUCAAAGUGUUAAAAAAAUGUUCUGUCUUACUCUGCGCCUAGCAUUGGAAAUGAAAGUGACAUUUACGCCACAACCCACGUGUGCGCCUCCUCUCUUUUUGUUUAAGGAUGAUCAGGUCUAUCCAGGAAACAGCUCUGGCAUCCCAAACUGAAAUAAUUAGGACGUAUAUAGACCUGACAAAAAUGGAAAGGGGGUGGGGAAUCUGAGGGUCUGUCUUGCCUAAUUGAUUCCGCUAAACGGAAUGCAGGAGAUGUGAACGGCAGGACGCUCCGAUUCCCACGCUCGGGGGCAAGUGAUAAAGCGGGGCCGGGCAGCCUAUGACAGACAGCCCUGUUGGGGGGUGGGGGUAUGAAAAAAACAUCAAGUGCACACACCAUACUCAUCUCCAUCGCUUAAGAAAGUAAAGGCAUUUCCCACCCACAGCCAUCUGCAGCUUCCCAAAUGGCAGCACCAACUGGUCUGUAGCUGCUACAUAGUCUGCUUCUGUUAAUUUUUUAACCACUGUUUAAUCUGGCCAUAAUUAAGUUUGGCUUUCUUCGUUGUUUGAGAUUUUCAGAAUUCAAGGCAAGCUAGUAGAAAGCAAUUCCAAGAAAGUCCCAUGACUGCCUGCCCCUAAUGUCAAAAUCUCAGUCCAUGAGAUUAUGGCCUUGUGACCACAUUUUUGCUUUUGUUUUGGGUGGGCAAAUGUGUAUAGAGAUAAAAUACAUAUCUCUAUAUAACAGUCGUUAUUAUAAUUUCAUGAGGCUUUUUACCUCUUAACAUGAUACAUCUAGGAACUUGGUCUAAUUGUGCUAGUAGAUAUACACUAGAAGUAAAACUAUAAAGUCAUUAGCCUGUAGAAAGUUGAUUAUGAUAACAAUAUGAUAAAAAGUUUGUUUUGGAAUAGUCUCAGCUAGAUGGGUCUAAAUAGCCAUUUUAAUGUAAUCUAAAAAUAACACUAUGCCUAGCAGAAACUUUGGCGCUUUGGAGGUCCCCAUUGUCGCCUUUUCAUAAAAGUCCUUAAGUUUUCCAUAUGUCACCAAGCAAACAUUUGUAUAGGCAUUUACACAGAAAUAUAACCAUUGCAAUUAGAAAAUAUCCAAAAUAGCCUGUUAUCUUCCACGUGGCCUAGAUUAUUGACAAUCCCAAAUAUACAAUUUUUCUUUAAAAGUAGUACAAUUUCCUUUGUAGCUUCAAUUCCUUAUAUGACUUCAGACUGGAGAAGCCUGUUAAACCACUGUUAGUUUCAGUUAGAAAGUCUGAGAGACUUUAUACAUAAAUUCUCAAUUUGGCUGCUGUACACGUGCCAGAGUUUUACUACUGUAGUGACCGUUGAGAAGACCCUUGUUUAUUUACAUUUGAAGCACUGUUUGUGCAAACAACCUUUCAUUGUUAAGUGCCUGUAUUCCUUUCAUUUACUUCAUGUCCAGGGGUGCUAUUUACCUAGAACCAUUGUCUACUACAAUUAACAUUUACAUUACAAAGUGUGUGGUUUUCUUUUUCAAGGAGGUUCAAUUAAGGCAAUAAGAUGUUUGCUGGAGAAACCUAUUGUUUACUGAAAGCACUCAAUGAAGUCAAAUUACUGAAGCUUUUGCCUACAUCUUGGUCUUUUAUGUAAAUAUGUUAAAUAUAACAUCUAAGGAAAAUAAACAAUAUUAUAAUUAUGUGUUUGCCAUUGUCAUAUCAAACUUGCUUUGUAUCAUACUAAUGUUACAUAACUUAUCGAUCAAUAAAAAUACAUUUCAAUGUUA
rnacentral:lncRNA from 10 species